rnacentral:lncRNA from 1 species
GGUUCAUGUGUUUCCUAUUAACCUGGGAUCUGAGCAACGCCCAUCACUUCAUCUAACACCUUGUGAGUGGUGGCCAGGGAUCUGAUGUUUUGUGAAACAAUGCUCCUCACAGCUGAUGAACCAGAAGGGAAAAUCUGACCAAAAUUUGGAAAGAAUCAUUGUCUGGGAGUACUUCUUCAUCUUGAUGAAGAAAAGGCAUAGCUCAUCGCUCAUUUAAAAGCUGCUGGGACUCUUGGGAUCCCUCAUGGAAGAGCUAAAUCGGCUAUUUAG